rnacentral:rRNA from 1 species
UAGGGAAUCUUCCGCAAUGGGCGAAAGCCUGACGGAGCAACGCCGCGUGAGUGAUGAAGGUCUUCGGAUCGUAAAACUCUGUUAUUAGGGAAGAACAUAUGUGUAAGUAACUGUGCACAUCUUGACGGUACCUAAUCAGAAAGCCACGGCUAACUACGUGCCAGCAGCCGCGGUAAUACGUAGGUGGCAAGCGUUAUCCGAAAUUAUUGGGCGUAAAGCGCGCGUAGGCGGUUUUUUAAGUCUGAUGUGAAAGCCCACGGCUCAACCGUGGAGGGUCAUUGGAAACUGGAAAACUUGAGUGCAGAAGAGGAAAGUGGAAUUCCAUGUGUAGCGGUGAAAUGCGCAGAGAUAUGGAGGAACACCAGUGGCGAAGGCGACUUUCUGGUCUGUAACUGACGCUGAUGUGCGAAAGCGUGGGGAUCAAACAGGAUUAGAUACCCUGGUAGUCCACGCCGUAAACGAUGAGUGCUAAGUGUUAGGGGGUUUCCGCCCCUUAGUGCUGCAGCUAACGCAUUAAGCACUCCGCCUGGGGAGUACGACCGCAAGGUU